GACGAACGCUGGCGGCGUGCUUAACACAUGCAAGUCGAACGGUGAAGCGCCUUCCUUUUUGGUGGGUGUGGAUGAGUGGCGAACGGGUGAGUAACACGUGAGUAACCUGCCCCCUUCUUCUGGAUAACCGCAUGAAAGUGUGGCUAAUACGGGAUAUUCUGGGUCUGUCGCAUGAUGGGUCUGGGAAAGAUAUUGUUUCGGUGGGGGAUGGGCUCGCGGCCUAUCAGCUUGUUGGUGGGGUGAUGGCCUACCAAGGCGGUGACGGGUAGCCGGCCUGAGAGGGUUGACGGUCACACUGGGACUGAGACACGGCCCAGACUCCUGCGGGAGGCAGCAGUGGGGAAUAUUGCACAAUGGGCGCAAGCCUGAUGCAGCGACGCCGCGUGAGGGAUGGAGGCCUUCGGGUUGUGAACCUCUUUCGCCAGUGAAGCAGGCCUGCCUCGUUUGUGGGUGGGUUGACGGUAGCUGGAUAAGAAGCGCCGGCUAACUACGUG
rnacentral:rRNA from 1 species